CUCCAAAAAGAAACUGAAGAGACCUUACACUAGCAGCUUGACAGCACACCUUAAAGCUCUAGAACAAAAAGAAGCAAAUACACCCAAGACAAGUAGAGGGCAGGAAAGAAUCAAACUCAAGGCUGACAUCAACCUAAUAGAAACAAAAAGAACAAAGAAUCAAUUAAACCAGGAGCUGGUUCUUUGAGAAAAUCAACAAGAUAGAUAAACCAUUUGUCAGGGUAAUCAGAGGGCACAGAGACAGUAUCCAAAUUAAUAAAAUCAGAAAUUAAAAGGGAGACAUAAGAACAAAAUAUAUCUUUAAACAAUUAUUCUGUUUGUUAAAUAUUAAUAGUUGAAAAUAUUAAAAUCAUGUUCUACAAACAUCAUGGAAAUAUUAUUGAUAAUUUUUCUCACUGUGCUUAAAAUUAGUUUAAAGAUUUAUUUAUUUAUUAUAUGUAAGUACACUGUAGCUGUCUUCAGACAUUCCAGAAGAGGGAGUCAGAUCUCAUUACAGAUGGUUGUGAGCCACCAUGUGGUUGCUGGGAUUUGAACUCUGGACCUUCGGAAGAGCAGUCGGGUGCUCUUACCCACUGAGCCAUCUCACCAGCCCGCAUUUUCUUAAUGUUUAACUUUAUAGAGUUUUUGCUAUUUUUAAAAUUUUAAAGUAUACUUACUGAUAAAAUAAUUUCUCUUCUAGAAAGGCUGACAAUGUUUUUUAAGUAAACUGAUUGUUCGACACUGUACACAGAUAUAUAAUGCAUUUUAAAUACUCUCCAGUCAGGACUUUUGAAUAUAUUUCUUAAUGAUUUAUUUUUAAUAUUUUAUGCUCUUUUACUGUGCUUAACUCCCAAAGAAUAUUUUAUAUGUUUUAAACAGUUUAGUAUUCAACAUUAGAUAUAGGAUCCUCAGUUAUGGAUAGUAUUAAAUAUUCAUUAAUGGUAUUUUUAGGACAAGGAUAUGAAUAUAAAAGUUGAACGAUUUUUUGUGUAUUAUUUGAUUCUCAAAAUACUCAAUAUCAUUAUGUUUGAUGUAUAAAAUGCACUUAAAUAAUAAAAAAAUUGAGGAAAAA
rnacentral:lncRNA from 1 species